rnacentral:rRNA from 1 species
AUUGAACGCUGGCGGCAUGCUUUACACAUGCAAGUCGAACGGUAACAGGCCUUCGGGUGCUGACGAGUGGCGAACGGGUGAGUAAUGCAUCGGAACGUGCCCAGAGGUGGGGGAUAACGCAGCGAAAGCUGGGCUAAUACCGCAUGUGACCGGAGGAGGAAAGCGGGGGACCAGGCAGCAAUGUUUGGCCUCGCGCCUCUGGAGCGGCCGAUGUCAGAUUAGGUAGUUGGUGGGGUAAAGGCCUACCAAGCCGACGAUCUGUAGCUGGUCUGAGAGGACGACCAGCCACACUGGGACUGAGACACGGCCCAGACUCCUACGGGAGGCAGCAGUGGGGAAUUUUGGACAAUGGGCGCAAGCCUGAUCCAGCAAUGCCGCGUGCGGGAAGAAGGCCUUCGGGUUGUAAACCGCUUUUGUACGGAACGAAAAGGCUCUGGCUAAUACCUGGGGCUGAUGACGGUACCGUAAGAAUAAGCACCGGCUAACUACGUG